GCGUGGCACAGGACCCUCCUUAAGUGCGAAUGCACUAACAACCCUUCACCAAAUACUUCUGACUUUAAUAAGUGACUCAGGAUAGUCCCCAAGUACACCGCGUGGCACAGGACCCUCCUUAAGUGCGAAUGCACUAACAACCCUUCACCAAAUACUUCUGACUUUAAUAAGUGACUCAGGAUAGUCCCCAAGUACACCGCGUGGCACAGGACCCUCCUUAAGUGCGAAUGCACUAACAACCCUUCACCAAAUACUUCUGACUUUAAUAAGUGACUCAGGAUAGUCCCCAAGUACACCGCGUGGCACAGGACCCUCCUUAAGUGCGAAUGCACUAACAACCCUUCACCAAAUACUUCUGACUUUAA